GUAGGGGAAGAGCAAGUGAACUGAACUUCUGCGUCGGUGUAGACUAUACUGUAGACUUAAAAUGCACCUAACUUUAAUCAUGCACUGUGAUUUCUUUUAGAGAAAAAACAAUUUGGAUGUUUGGAGAGAUGUCAGACAGGCUUCUGUCGGCGAAAAUGAAAGAUUCUUUCUUUUAAAAUUAAUCCAAAAGAAAACUUGGGACUGAUUGUGUGUGUUUAUGGUUCUCAAUAUAAUGUCUGAGAUCUAAAAGCAGGUAAGCCACUGACUAACGCACAUUGCGCCAGUUGUCAAUUCCACUGUGCGUGUGACAGCGGCUAACCUGGUUUUGGGAAUACAUCUUUGGCACGUCCAAGACCAGCCACAGCCGGACCAGACAGACACCUAUCUACAAGCAGUCCUUGAUCAUGUCCCGUGCACAUUGCUGGGACAGGCCUUGCUCAACAUGACUGCACUCCCAGCAGUCUCCAUGUGUACUGUAGCCUACUUCCUCCUAUGUUCUCAUACUGUCCCUAAUUUAGGGCCAGUAGCUUUUGCAUUGCCUUCUAUGGAGGCGACCUCUCUAAUGCCACCUACUGUCAAGACAAUUGGUGAGUGUUUUGUUUCAGUUACUGUUUCAUCUGUCUGGUUUAGACAUGAUAAUCAUCAUCAUACUCACUGGUUCCCAAUCUGAGGUUAGGGGCCCUCCAGGGGUUCUUGAAGAUGUUCCUGGGAGCUCUCCAGCAAAAAUGAGCAUUACUAUAACACUGAACUUGGUUUUAGAACAAAAUGGAUAAUUAUGUAGUAAUGAGUCCUCCCGUUUACACUAGUAGAGGCAGUUUUCCAGCUAUUUACUAAAUCUUGAAGCAAAUCUUGAGUUGCAAGUAAGAAAAUCCAAAUCAAUUGUAGCCAUACAUUAUGUACCAUGUAGUCAGUCAUGUUUGUAAAAAGCAGUGAGAAGUAAAAUUUCUAUUCAAAUCAA